AAUGUUGAAAAUGAGCAAAAGUGCCUAUGGGGUGCAGCAAAUACAUUUGACCUUGACUCUGCUGUAUCUCUUAGAAUUGUGAAAACUGUUAAUGGAUGGAAUUUCAUGGGAAAAGAAGCUGAGUACGGUACUGGAAGUACUUCUACUAAUAUGAUGAAUCUUGCAAUAAGACAUCAGGAUGAGAAUUCCUCUGAUGAGGGCUUCACUGAAUCUUUCUAACUUAGCUUAAGGAAAUGAAAGAAAUGUCAUAUAUUUUCCUAUCAAAAAUUGUUUGUUAAAGGUGUUAUCUGGAGUCAUAGGAUGUUUUUUGUUUUGUGUAUGGCUUAUAAUGCCAUUUUUUGUCUUUCUGGUUUCCUUGAUUAUAUCCCCC
rnacentral:lncRNA from 1 species